rnacentral:rRNA from 1 species
AACGAACGCUGGCGGCAUGCCUAACACAUGCAAGUCGAACGAGACCUUCGGGUCUAGUGGCGCACGGGUGCGUAACGCGUGGGAACCUGCCCUUAGGUUCGGAACAACUCCCCGAAAGGGGUGCUAAUACCGGAUAAUGUCUUCGGACCAAAGAUUUAUCGCCUUGGGAUGGGCCCGCGUUGGAUUAGCUAGUUGGUAGGGUAAAAGCCUACCAAGGCGACGAUCCAUAGCUGGUCUGAGAGGAUGAUCAGCCACACUGGGACUGAGACACGGCCCAGACUCCUACGGGAGGCAGCAGUGGGGAAUAUUGGACAAUGGGCGAAAGCCUGAUCCAGCAAUGCCGCGUGAGUGAUGAAGGCCUUAGGGUUGUAAAGCUCUUUUACCCGGGAUGAUAAUGACAGUACCGGGAGAAUAAGCUCCGGCUAACUCCGUG